UACGGAGGGUGCAAGCGUUGCUCGGAAUUAUUGGGCGUAAAGGGUAGGUAGGUGGUCUCAUUUGUCUGGGGUGAAAUCCUUGGGCUUAACCCAAGAAGUGCCCCGGAAACGGUGAGACUAGAGUCCUGGAGAGGGUCGUGGAAUUCCCGGUGUAGCGGUGAAAUGCGUAGAGAUCGGGAGGAACACCAGAGGCGAAGGCGGCGACCUGGACAGGUACUGGCACUCAACUACGAAAGCGUGGGGAGCAAACAGG
rnacentral:rRNA from 1 species